rnacentral:rRNA from 1 species
UACGGAGGGUGCGAGCGUUGUCCGGAAUCACUGGGCGUAAAGGGCGCGUAGGCGGCCUGAUAAGUAGGGGGUGAAAUCCUGCGGCUUAACCGCAGGGCUGCCUUCUAAACUGUCAGGCUCGAGCACAGUAGAGGGCAGGUGGAAUUCCCGGUGUAGCGGUGGAAUGCGUAGAGAUCGGGAAGAACAUCAGUGGCGAAGGCGGCCUUCUGGACGAUGACUGACGCUGAGACGCGAAAGCGUGGGGAGCAAACAGG